rnacentral:rRNA from 1 species
UUGGAGGGCAAGUCUGGUGCCAGCAGCCGCGGUAAUUCCAGCUCCAAUAGCGUAUAUUAAAGUUGUUGCAGUUAAAAAGCUCGUAGUUGAAUUUCGGGAUCAAAUAAUCGGUCGUGCCUCCGGUACAUACUGGUUUUAUUGGUUCCUCCCUUCUGACGAACCAUGAUGUCAUUAAUUUGAUGUGGUGGAGAAUCAGGACUGUUACCUUGAAAAAAUUAGAGUGUUUAAAGCAGGCUAACGCUUGAAUACAUUAGCAUGGAAUAAUGAAAUAGGACGUUCGACCCUAUUUUGUUGGUUUCUAGGAUCGACGUAAUGAUUAAUAGGGAUAGUUGGGGGCAUUAGUAUUCAAUUGUCAGAGGUGAAAUUCUUGGAUUUAUUGAAGACUAACUACUGCGAAAGCAUUUGCCAAGGAUGUUUUCAUUAAUCAAGAGCGAAAGUUAGGGGAUCGAAGACGAUCAGAUACCGUCGUAGUCUUAACCAUAAACUAUGCCGACUAGGGAUCGGACGAUGUUAAUUUUUUAAUGACUCGUUCGGCGCCUUACGGGAAAC